rnacentral:lncRNA from 10 species
CUGGUAAUUCUAAAGUUCACUAAGAUUUGAGAAGUUCUGCCCUAAAGACUCAGCUUGUCUUCAUAGUCUAUCUCAUCUUCUGCUCCCAGCCACUUAACUCCUGCUACAGGGGUUCAAACUCUGGAGUCCUGGUUGUUAUCUAAAGGGAACAACUGCCUUCCUGUAGGGCUAAAGUGAAGCCCCUUCAUGGAGAAGCACUAGAGUCUGACAGUGGGCCCAGGUCUUCUUCAUUUUCAGGUAUAGUUCUGAAUUCAGAAAGCCAAGUCAUGUCCCAGAGAGCUGCACUUCUCUCCUUCUUUCUGUCCAUCUCUCAUCAAUUAUUUCUGUACUCACCUUCCCCCACUUCAGACUGGAACUUUCCCUCUUCUGGAGUUGUUGCUUUCCACCAUACAAGAUGUCUUGUGCUUCUGCAUGUUGGCAUCCAGGUGUAUUAUUAUUCCUGUGUGGUAGCCAGCGGUGCAGACUUAGAAUGCCUUGUAAGUGCCUCUAAGUAGGAUAUAGUAAAAAGGUUUGCAGAGUUAAGCUUACAUCCCAGCAGGUCCAGGUACUUCUUUGAGGUACAAAACUGAUGACAGGGCUGGGCGCAGUGGCUCACGCCUACAAUUCCAGCACUUUGGGAGGCCGAGGUGAGCAGAUUACUUGAAGUUAGGAGUUUGAGACCAGCCUGGCCAACAUGGUGAAAUCCCAUCUUUACUAAAAAUACAAAAAUUAGCUGGGUGUGGUGGUGCAUGCUUGUAUUUCCAGCUACUUGGGAGGCUGAGGCAGAAGAAUGGCUCAGGAGGUGGAGGUUGCAGUGAGCCAAGAUUGUGUCACUGCACUCCAACUUGAGUGACAGAGUGAGUGAGACUCUGUCUCAAAAACAAACAAACAAACAAACUGAUGACAGAGCAGAGAAGGUCGUAUUGAGUAACUUAAUUUAUUAUUUUUACUAGCUAUAAACAAUUUAAAAAAUGUAAUAAUUGAAAAUAAUUUAGAAAGUUCAGAAGGGGCCAGGCACAGUGGGUCAUGUCUGUUAUCUCAGCACUUUGGGAGGCUGAGGUGGGAGGAUUACUUGAGCCUAGGAGUUCAAGACCAGCCUGGGCAACAUAGUGAGAUCCCUGUCUCUACAGAAAAAUAAAUUAGUCAGGUGUGGUGGCAUGUACCUGUACUCCCAGCUACUUGGCAGACUGAGGCAGGAGGAUCCCUUGAACCCAGGAGGUUGAACCUGCUGCAUAGCUAGGGUGACAGAGUGAGACCCCAUCUUUAAAUAAAUAAAUAAGAAAGUACAGCAAAUGUUUUUUUUUUUUUUUAAGUGGAGGCUAAGUCAAUUAUAAUCCUAGUUUUUUAAGUAGAGGCUAAGUCAAUUAUAAUCCUAGUUCCUGCCAUCCAGAGGCAACCAUUAUUAACAUUCUGGCAUCCUUCCAUCUAGUGUUUUUCUAUUUUUUAAAAAAUAGAAAUUAUACAAUAUAUACAACACAGUUACCUGCUUUUCUUUGCCUAACCUUGUUUUAUAACAUUUCCCAAUUAAUGCUUCAAAAUCGUAUUUUCUUUUCAUGGCUGCAUGA